GGUCCUGUGGCGUAAUUGGAAGCGCGUCUGACUACGAUCACCAGCUCCUAGCGACUGAUCGAGUAAUCAGGAGGUUCCAGGUUCGAGCCCUGGCAGGAUCG